UGAGUGGAUGCGGAGACCUGGAGCUGGGGAACUAGAGGGCGGAUCUUGAAUGGGAUGCUAGACAUUGCUCAUGAGAAACCCGAGGAGGAUACUAAAAAGACAGCCACAGUUUUCCUCAUGCCUGCCGCCAAGUUUCUUGAGGGCCCAGCUGUUGGGGGUCUGUGGUUGAGUUUUUAAGCCGGAUCAAGUUACAAAGCGCCACACACCUAUCCACAGGGGCUCUGAUAUGGUAUGGGGAAAGUAUUGGCCAGGCAUCUGGUAGCAGAUUGACUCUAUGGGACCCCUUUCUGCAAUGCCGGUUGUAUCAGGAGCGACUAUAGCUUUUUCCAGGAAGCCUCCUGUAAGUCUUUUGUAGAGACUGUAGAAAGCCGUCACACUGAAGGCUGUCUGAUGAAUGGGACUAACGUCGGACGAGAGUGGAUCUGAGCCAUGCAAGAGAUGUACCGUAUCACUGUGUGUGUGCCACUGCACAUCCUCGAGGUUUCUCAGCCCACGUUUUACUCCAGCUGGUGUUGUAGCAACUAGCUUUGUGCAAACAUUCUGACAGCGCCUCACUUCAUCUGCAUCAUGUCUUCCUGCCCUGGGACUUCUCUAAUGCUGCGCCGUGAGAUGGCUAUGGAAACCCACUCAGGCACGUGGAACCCGAAAGGGCGGGGGAGUUAGAGCCAAUGGGCAUCUCUUUUC